rnacentral:rRNA from 1 species
AUUGAACGCUGGCGGCAGGCCUAACACAUGCAAGUCGAACGAGUGGCGGAAGGGUGAGUAAUGUCUGGGAAACUGCCUGAUGGAGGGGGUUAACUACUGGAAACGGUAGCUAAUACCGCAUACCAUCGGAUCUGCCCAGAUGGGAUUAGCGAGUAGGUGGGGUAAAUGCUCACCUAGGCUACGAUCCCUAGCUGGUCUGCGAGGAUGACCAGCCACACUGGAACGGAGACACGGUCCAGACUCCUACGGGAGGCAGCAGUGGGGAAUAUUGCACAAUGGGCGCAAGCCUGAUGCAGCCAUGCCGCGUGUAUGAAGAAGGCCUUCGGGUUGUAAAGUACUUUCAGCGGGGAGGCGUUACCCGCAGAAGAAGCACCGGCUAACUCCGUGCCAGCAGCCGCGGUAAUAC